GGAGGGGUAAUCGCUCAGCAGUAUGAGCGCCUGCUUUGCAAGCAGAAGAUCCCAGGUUCAAUCCCUGGCGUCUCCA